AGAAAAGAGGGAAUGCACUUGCUAAACUGAUGCAGGGAUGAAAUUGACUGGAAGAGCUUAGUAAAAAAACUGCUGUUCCUGUUAAAUGGAGCUCUGAGUUUUAGGAGUUGCCACGUUCACAGGAAAGGAAUGCGGUGGUGUUUAGUCUCUUAGACUGGAAUCAACAUUUACACAAGAAAAAGUUAGACAACUAGAUCAUUUUGAAUGGCACAUUAAGUAUGGCCUGCUUGCCUGCAGAAGCUGCUCCUCCCAAGAUCUCAGAUUGCAUUACCGACUUACAAAAACCUGACAAAUUGUAAAGAUUUUGGCCAAAAAAUGAAACCCCAAAACAAACACAGCUUCUUGGUAACAGUAACUUCUAAUAUCAAGUAAGUAAAAAUAUGUUAGGUAAAAGAGAAUCAACUGUUUUGGUGCAACCAGUGGAUAAAGAAGUAGUGCUCUUUACCUCUGAUACCUUGUGUUUUUCUCUAACAGGAAAACAGUUGUUUUUCAAUGGACAGCAUCACAGCAUAAAUGAGGUGCAAGCAGACAGAGGAGAUAACUUAGCUCUGUGUCUGAAGCAGCAUGCAGGUGUUUCCAGCUAAGACAGACUGACCUUCUACAGUGUGCUUCUCAGAAGCACAGCCCAGACUGCAGCACUUAGACAUGACUGUGCUUUGCCUGACAGGUUCUAAGUUCUGCUUGGGAGGGGAGAGGCUGGCAAUACAGUAUGAAUCCAGUUCAACCUGGAUGUAGGACUGCUUUCAUUCAGUUAUGAAAAGAUGAAUAUUUAACUUUUCUCUUUAACCCUGAAAAGAUUUUUUUUCUGUGAAUCCUACAGUAAAAGGUUUCAGCCUUGUUUUUCAUGCUAAAAAAUCUUCUCAUUUCAAAAAAAUGAGAGUGGUGUGUCUUUUGUAGGAGAUGUAUCUCUGACUGUUGUUUGGCCAGCUGUUUCUUAUUGUCGGGGGAACAAAAAUUUGGAGUCCUAAGGCACAAACUACUGUUACAAUAGCCACAUCUGUUCUGAUUAGGUAAUGCCCACUGAAAAAGACUAGUUGAAGAAAUGCAGAAGUGUUCAUUUUUUCAGAUGAUAUCAUAUUUGGGUCUCAGGAAAGCAAUGGCUCUGUUCAAGAAGUGUCUCAUUUAAGAAGGGUCAAAAUUUUGGGGAUGGGAAGGGGUGGUUCUACAGAAGGCAUCAACAGCAGAGCAUGAAGACUAUGUUGAUACCAAGGAGUAAUCACAUUUUAUGUCAAAUAUAUCUCAGGAAACAACUGUCACUAUUUGUCACUUGUAACAGGUUGUUCUACUAAUUCCCAGGAUUAAAGCAGUAUAUGGAAACACUGUUCUCCUAAACUGACUGGUAUACCAGCAGGAACAUAGACACUUGCUUCCCAGUUUAACUGAUUUUUCAAGACAUUAGGUAUUGUUUCCCUUAGAUUUUGUUUAAUGAACUAGCAGGUCCCAUUCAUAAAAAUAUGCUAUUUCAUUCUGAGAAGAUGGCCAAAUCAAGCUAUCUAAAGUUUCACUAAUGUGUAGAGAAAGGUGCCAGAAUCAAGGGCUAGUUAUAGCAAAGACUGUGCUACACAGGACAAAUAUAUUUGGACCUGAAUAGUUGCAAAAACUCAGAUAGAAUAUGUGUUCUGAUUACAUGUACAAUGUCUCAAAAGAUAAAAGAGGAGAGUUUCACUAUCAGUCUGACCACUGACUGCAUAGAUUCUGUUUUCACAUGCAAGGUUGGGGGGUCUUUUUAGAAAACAUCCCAUUAUCUCACCCUGUUGUGCAGUUGGCUUUCAUAAAUGUGAAAUGCUGUUUUACAUUCUCAGUCACCACUAAGUAUUUCACACACUUAGCAUGUCCCUUAUCUUCCUUCUCUGUAGACUGUGGGCUUCCUUUCAGUGGCAGUACACUUGAAUAAAAAAACAUGAGAAAUCUGUCAAAGAACAAUGGCUGGAAUUUCACUUCCUUUGUGCAGACAUGGCAGAUCAGUUAUCAAAUGACAGAUGAGAACUGUUGUUCUGACACUUCAAUUCUUUUCUUUUUCACUUUCUACCUUGGUAAGAGGAACUAUUCAUAUGAUGAUGUACAGGAAAUUAAAUUGUUUUAGCUACUGUGUAUAUGUGACACAAUUUUCCAUGUCAAUACAAGGAAGAAGCCUCUACAGAUUCCCUUUUGUUCAGAAGGAGCUCCAUACCCUUCCUAACAUGAAAAGAUUAAGAAAGCUCAGGAGUGUUUACCUCCAUCACAUCAUUCUGUUCAGACACAGAGCUGCUUUUUUAUUCACUUUCACACUUUUAUCCAGACAGUCUAAAGGACUUGAGGUUUGAGGUAUACUAAUUCCUGCUGUUUGCAGCCAGGCAUUAUAUUGCUAUUGUUCAUGACACACCUGGGGAAGAGAAAUGCCUGUAACUGACAGGAUAAUCAGGCUUUAAGCCUCAACUCUGUGUUAGCUUGGUUUGUUGCUGCUGGAUUUAGUCAAGUAUGAAAAGCAUUUCUUAUCUUACAUAGACUAUAUAAUAUUAAGGAUAAAUUGCAUCUCAGAAUAUAUUUUCCUGCCAAGGAAUAGGUUUUUUUCUUCUCUCAUAUAAUUCUUCAGAACAUGAUGAAAUUGAGCUUAGUUUUGAGAGCAUAAAUUUACUUUUAUUGCCAAAUUGAAGUCUGGUGUAGGGUAAUAGGAUUUGUGUGUAGUAGAGGAGUAAUGAAGUUUGAUCAUGUGAUGGUUUGACCAGCUUCAUAUGUAAUUCUGAUAAACAAUCUUUGAAGUAUUGAGUUGGUGAAACUAUAGCUAGAAGGCCUGCCAAGCAUGUUUGAGAACAAGACAAAUUCAUAAUGAUUGCAACUACUUGACAAAACACUAAAACAACAGAGUGCAGUUCAAUAUGGAUGAAUACCAAACACCACUGCUGGGAACAAUCAAUUGCUACAAUAGAAAAACCCCUACUUGCUAAUCAGUAGGUUAAUAGCAAAGAAUUUGAGAAUUUUAAAGGUUCAGAGCUGAAUAUCAUAAAAAAACCUGUGCAAAUGGAGGAGAAAGGAAUGCUUGGAUGUACAGACAGGAGUGUUGUGUGCUAAGAUUCAUUCCUCUGUUCUUAGCAUGGAUCAGACUUUGGUGAGAUUGCUAUUUCCAGCUUUCUUUAGGUAACACAGGUAAAGAAAAAUGUAGGUCAGCUGGGAGAAAAGCCAGAGAAGAUUAGUAGGAAUGAUUUAGAGAUAUACAAAACAUGACUGUUAGGGAGAGAACUAAAAUUUUGGGAUUGUUUAUUCUAGAGGAGAAAAAGGACAUGAUAAAUCUUUCAAUACAUAAAAUAUUGCUGCAGAGCGGAAAAGGUUAUUCAUUCAGACUUGUACAAGAAGUUACGAGUUGUGCUACAGCAAGAGAGAUUUUGGUAAGAUUUUAGGACAAUAUUUCUGAAGACAAGAAUGGUCAUGCACUGGAAAAAACCAAAACAUGUGGACUAUUGAGGGAGGUAGGUUAGACAAACCUCUCAGUCUAUGGAAGUGUAUCUGAUUAUGUGCUCUGUGUUCUAAUUUGAAACAAUGUUUAGUGGCUAUGUUAUUAUUAUUUGGAAACUCAGUAGAAAUAGGAUGCUAUAUGUAAGCAGAGAGCCAAGAAAGCAUGAAAAGAGAGUUGUUCCAUAGGUAGCUACAUUAGGUGUCAGUGUAACUUUAAUACUAAACUGAUUAAUUCAUGGCUGUUAAAGGACUCUAGACUUCCAUUUGUCCUUUGUACAAUAGCAUCCUUUUGUCCCUUAUUAGCAUUGCAGCCUUUAUUCUCCCUAAUGUUGCCUAUAUUUCUGAAGUGCAAUAAUUAGUGCACAAUAGUGCACAAUAAUCAGUUCACUAGUUUGUGAAUAAAUAGCACCUCAGCCUCCAAACUCUUUUUUUUUAGGUUCAUUCAUACUAUUUAUAAAUGUGUACUUUAGGCAUUCAAGGUAGAAAUCAAUAGAUAACUUGAGGCACUGAGUCUUUCUUUGUGUGAGAUAUCUUUGGACUUGCCCUCUAACCAAAAGUUUAACAUAUUUUUCUUCUAAAACUACAUUCCACACAGGGUGUCUAGAAGCCAAAUGCUGUCUGUCCAUAGCUGUGUGAUACUGUAUUGGCUUACUCAAAUGGCUCUGAAUGCUUGUGGCUUUCUGUGGUCACAAGGGACCACUACUGCAAAAGCCACAUUGUGGAAACAGCAAACACUUUGUCACUAUGGAAGUUUUUUACUUGCUUCUCCCCAUCCUGUCUGGAACCUGAACUAAACCUGUGGUCUGACAGCUGAAAGAGCAACUUAUAUUAGUGAAAUUCAGAUCAGACCAAAACAUCAGAAUGGCCAAAACAGAAAGAGCAACACUCUACCAUCUGCUGCCAGUCUCAGUAAUGUUGCUGCUUUGACCAACAGUCUACAAGAAGUAUUCUCAAAAUUAAACAACAACCAAAAAGGUUGCUUACCCUGCUGUAGUUUUUAUCAUAUGGAAAAAAGUUCCAGAUUCUGCAUGUUUUGGUGCUGUCAGAAAGCAUGGACUUAAUUGGCACUUUAACAGAAGAAGAAUGGCAGCUACUCCACAGUUCUGAAGGGUAAAUAAAUAUCAAUUUUCCAUAUUGAAAACAGACCUAUUACAGAAUAACAGGUACAGGCCUGUGUACCAUGGUUGCCUGUCUAAGAUGCUUACACAGACACAGUGCUUUUCCAGCUCCUUUCUCAGGCCUUGGGGUUUCCUACUGUGCUUCUGUUCCUCCAGAUCUUAAUUACACUUUCCUAAUGAGUCUGAUGCGCUGAGAUUGUUUGGGUGCCAGCUGAUUUUCACAUGCUAUAACGUUCUGGUGUAUAUGGCAGUGUUUGUCUGGUGUGGAUUUUUUAAUCUUAGCAAUUUUCACAAUUAUUUUAGUCAGCAAUAAGGACAAGUUUCAGCCCUAAAAGAAUUAGUGUUUGUCAGAAAAACUGUUACAAAUUGACUAGAAGUAAAGUCGAUGGAUGAAAUUUGUUUUCUAAAAAUAGAGCUUGAGAAGAAUGAAACACACUUGUUUUACUCUAAUUGCCUUCUGAAACACUUGGUCCUGGUACUAAUUAGUUUGGCUUUGAAGACUGUAUUGUCUUCACCUCAGUAUUUUUACAAAGCCUUUUAUUGGAGUUCCUGUCAUUACUCUCCUAUCCAUUCCUCGAUCUGAGACUGCAACAGAUAAUGUGCUGUCCUGUCUGCUUGUGAAGUCAUAUGUCUGUGCUACAAAGUCCCUUUUGAAAAAUGUCUUUUUUGCAUUUUUAAUAUCCAGGUAGCUACUGAAUUCACAUCUAUUUCUCACUUGUGCAUUCAUAUUUCUGGUUAAGCUCAGGAAUUCCAAAAAUAACAUCAGAGAGGAAAACUCAGAAGCUCAUUGCUUUUGUGGCUUUUUUUCACUGACUGAGGCUGGUUUUAGCCCACGUUGCCAAUGAUCAGUCUGUACACUUUAGUUCUAUAUUGUAUACUUAAGCUGUGUGUGCAACAAAUGAUGUUUUCUUAGCCUCUCCAUACAGCCUAUUAAACAGUGGUUGGAAUACUUCCAUCUGUAAAGCAAAACCUUUGGCAUAAAUAAUAUUGUCAUUUGGAUAGGCUAGACAUACUUUUGCAAAGUGACCUUGUAAAAAUAUUGUCUGAGGUAUGACUGAGCCUAAAUUAUAUGACAGUGAGGUAGUAUAUUUUGGUCUCUCUGGUAUAUGAGGUCUCAUCUUGUAGCAGUGAAACCACCUGAAAUUAAACAAAAAGCAGUAAUGUGCAUCAGAUUUAGAAGCUGAAGAAAGCUGGGCUGAGUUGUUUAUUUUUUUGGGUUUUUUUUAAAAUCUAUUUGUAAACUUAUAAGUAAAUUCUUUGUUUGGCAAAGGUAAACAUUGCUUUCUGUGGUCUUUCUGUCUGAUGAUUUUUGUCUUUGUAAAAUAUAAUGAUAUGAAACACUGUGAGGAAAAUCUUUUUACUA